AUGGUUUCGUUUUGAAAGGCGCUUUACGGUGCCGCUGAUGGAUGGACCCGCGGUGCAUUAGCUAGUUGGUGAGGUAACGGCUCACCAAGGCCACGAUGCAUAGCCGACCUGAGAGGGUGAUCGGCCACAUUGGGACUGAGACACGGCCCAAACUCCUACGGGAGGCAGCAGUAGGGAAUCUUCGGCAAUGGACGAAAGUCUGACCGAGCAACGCCGCGUGAGUGAAGAAGGUUUUCGGAUCGUAAAACUCUGUUGUUAGAGAAGAACAAGGGUGAGAGUAACUGUUCACCCCUUGACGGUAUCUAACCAGAAAGCCACGGCUAACUACGUGCCAGCAGCCGCGGUAAUACGUAGGUGGCAAGCGUUGUCCGGAUUUAUUGGGCGUAAAGCGAGCGCAGGCGGUUUCUUAAGUCUGAUGUGAAAGCCCCCGGCUCAACCGGGGAGGGUCAUUGGAAACUGGGAGACUUGAGUGCAGAAGAGGAGAGUGGAAUUCCAUGUGUAGCGGUGAAAUGCGUAGAUAUAUGGAGGAACACCAGUGGCGAAGGCGGCUCUCUGGUCUGUAACUGACGCUGAGGCUCGAAAGCGUGGGGAGCAAACAGGAUUAGAUACCCUGGUAGUCCACGCCGUAAACGAUGAGUGCUAAGUGUUGGAGGGUUUCCGCCCUUCAGUGCUGCAGCUAACGCAUUAAGCACUCCGCCUGGGGAGUACGACCGCAAGGUUGAAACUCAAAGGAAUUGACGGGGGCCCGCACAAACGGUGG
rnacentral:rRNA from 1 species